UUGCAAGAAGAAAUAGGUAAUUUUGGUGAAGAUAAAUAUAUAUGUAAGGAAGAUGUAUGGAAAGAGAUAUGUACAGUGUUAAGGGAUUCAUAAGAUGUUUGGUUAAUGUAUGAAUUAUGAACAUUUUAACCUUACGAUGGUGAGAUUAUUCUUCACGCAAGAUCAACUCAUAUAUGUGAUUCUCUAUCAUCUGAUAGUGUGUACACAUUUAGUAUGGAGCCAGUGCACACCUAAUAAUUAUGCGAACGUGUCGACAACAACAACUUAUCGGGAGUUAACCAGUCCUGGAUAUCCAUCAAAUUAUCCAGCG